UCCCUAUUUAUGUGUUGGGAGGAACACAGUCGAGCCGUGGUGGCGAGAGGCGAAGAGUCAAAAGGAGAAGGGGAGGGGCUGACAGGAGAGAGUGAGCACAGGGUGGGAACAAGAAAUGAUAUGAUGGCGCUGCUGUUUCCGCUGCGUGCUCACUUCUCUUCCUGUCAGCCUUAUCUACUUCUCCUCCUUAAUUCUUAUCUUUAACCUCGGUUGUAGAGUAGGAUCGAGUUGUCCCCCAAACACCCAAAAGCGAGCUUUUUUCCUUACGGUUCGUCUGGAAAUUUGCUGAAAGAUAAGUGUAAGCUGUACCAGUCUGGAUGAUCUGUGGUUUUUCUCGAUCAGAAAUAGUUCGCUAUGGAUUUCAUCCGUAGUUUUCUAUCAGCAGCAGCGAAGUUUGAGCCCUAAAAUAUAAUAGAUUUGGGAGGUCGACGCGUGACUUUUGAGAAGCGGCGUACUAAUUCGGAUAGAGACGACGGUGAGGUACAUUCACCGCAUCUCUCCUUCCUCUCUCUGGGCAGCACAGUGAGCACUAAAUAGGAACUACUGUUUGAUGGAUCCCCUCUCUCUCUCUCUCUCUCUCUCUCUUCUCGUUCUCGUUUUCUGAUCUUCUUUUUUGGAUCCGUUUUACGAAGGAAACUGGAAUCUUGAUGACACUCUUUGGGCCAAAGGUUUCUUUUUUAUCCUCUUUGUGGCCUCUUUUUUGUUUGUGUUUGUGUUUCUUCGGUAGCUGGCCAUCCUUUCGCCAAAGGUCGGAUCGUUUGUCUUCUUUCACAAGUCUGAACAGCUAGUAGUUUCCGAUGCGGAUUGAGCUCCCUUUGGGAUGAUAACCUUGAACCUUGAGCCAGUUCGUUGUUCUAGGGUUUACUUUUUCCCGAAGCGAAAUCGGUGUGGUCAGAUGAAGACUGGCUUUGUUUUGAUCCAACAGAAGAAUGUAGCUGUGAUCUUUCUCUUCCGUUUGGCGGAUUUAUCAUAUGGUGGGUUUAGCACGGCAGUCCUUAUUUCAUGGAGCUGUUGCCUUGCUUCGUCGUCUAGCUACAGGUUUGGAUUGCUUUUUGACCGUGGGAAUCAUGAGCAAACCCUUCAUGGAUCUCAGUUUUGUUGUCGUUCUCCCUUUUCUCCUCUCACCUCUCUCUCUCUCUCUCUCUCUCUCUCUCUCUCUCUCUCUCUCGAUGGCUUUUUGAUCGCCUUUGUUUGUUUUCGACCUGCAAAAGAACUGAUGCCUUGAGGCUCAUUAAGGCCUCCCAGAAUUGGUUCUUUUGGUUUGCAGUUCCCCUUUUUAUCGUCUACUCUCCAGAGUCUAUUUUGCUUGUAGAUGUGUGGAUGUUGUGGUGGGAUGCAACAAGCAGAUCUUCGCAGAUUACUCUUGGUAAUAUGGAUGUAUAUGGAGGCCAACUUGCGCUUUUACCCUCGCUUCCUCUUUUCAGCAAAUAUUACACAUGAUUCUUUUGCUUGCUCAGUUGCUGCUCUCGGUGGCUCUUAGUUUGCUGAAAAGUAGCUUUUCCUUAUGACAAAUGACAUUUGGGAUAGUGGGCAUGGAUAAAUUGAUUUUUAUCUAGCAGUGGAUUAAAGGAUAGUAUUAAUAGGCAAGAAAAUUAAAGAUGUUGCAAUGACAAGGAAACCAUUGCAACUUGGCUACCACGUACGCCUUUUAUGUUAGGAGAGUAUUAAGCUCAAUUUUGGUCUUCCACAUGUUUGACAAGCCAAGAAGAAUUUGGAUACGGUUUCUCAAUUGUUACAUCUCAUGAUAAUAACUGUGACAAAAUAUUCUGUUUCACAGGAUGUCUUGCAAUAGCUUAGCUGGGGAAUAUAUCCAAGCAGAAAUUCCUUAUUUGUUUUGUGUACGGAAUCUGUAAGUGGUUUUCUUUUUGUAGCAUCUUUUUUGGCUUUAUGCUCUUAUAAUCGCUGGCAAUUCUUAGAAACAUGUUAAGUUAUGUUUCGAGUUUGUAAAUGAAUGUCUAAUAUACCUGCUUUGAAGCAAGCUUAUGGAAUUGUUCUUGAAUUUAUCAUUACCAUCAACUUGUAGUUCGUAGUGACUCUUCUCCUAUAUUUAGUGAACAUAGAUGGGCAGAAAGUUAGACUGUGGACUUGAUUGUUUGCAAUAAACUAAGUAUUCAGCAUCUAGAGUUGCUAGUUCUUUUGUAUAUAAUUAUAUUUGCAAUGAAUAUAGAUGUGAUGACAACUUGACCUUAUUAGAGGCUGAUAUACUUUGUUUGCCCACCUUCUAUGUGACAUUGAAUCUUGCGGACUUAUGAGUGCACAUGUACAAAUAGGAAUGUAAGGUGUUAAUCGGUUAUCCAGGAAGAUAUCCAGUGCAAAUGGUUCCAAGAUUAAGAUUUAGAGGAUAUGUGCCAUUUUCUUUGAACAUGGCAGUGAGAUAAUCUAUUAGUUUAUCACAUUGUUUAGAUCUAGCCUUUCAUCAGUUAACAUGUACAAGCAUAUAGAGGUAUAGUGCUUACCUUUGUCUCUAGUUCAUUGGAAAGAAAAUUGAUUAGUUGUUGUUUGUACUCCCCAGUUCUCAUAUUACUUCAUAUUCUCACCCUUGAGAUGUAAUCUAAAAUUAGGGUUCAGAUGGAUUUAAUUAUUAAUUUAAUGUAACUAAUCACUCAAUCUGAGUUUCAUUUUCCUGUAGAGAAGUGAACAAUGAUAAAUUUGAGAGCAUUUUUGCAUGCUCAUCGUACUUAUAGUCUAUCACCUUUUUUCUUCGUUUUAAUAUUUUUGUACAUUUCUUGAUCAGUCAUUCUUGUAUUCAAUAUUAAGGCCAUGUUUGGAGUGGAAAAACAAAUAAUGGGAAUAGGUAUAAUAAUGUCCCUAGGUGGGGAUUACUGUUUUGGUCUCUUCAAUUUUGUUUGGUUCAAGGGUGGAUGGAAUAGGAAAGAUUGAAACAGCCAAAGAUGUGGAUAUUUGCCUAAAUUUUGCAUAAAAGGACUAUUCUAGGAGAGAGAAGUAGAAAUAAGAGAGAGAAUAAGUCCAUCCCAUCCAAUGGAAUUUAUUGACAGGAAAGAGAAAGAUUUAGGUUAAUCUUGAUAAUGAUGGUCGCUGCUAAAUUCUGCCAUGGAAUAAGCCUUUCCCAGUCCCUUUUUGUAGAAUAAACAGAAAAAAAAGGUAUUCUUCUUCCAAACAUAGUAUAUUAAACUCUUAGAUUCAUCUCAUCUCAUCUUUCCUAUGGUUAAUCUUUAUAACGGUUUUUAGGAUUGCAGGUUUCUGAUUCACUAACAAACUGUAUAAACAACCAGUCUCAUGAAAAUCAUGAUACAUUCAUAAUCUGCCAUUUUGAAGCCACUUUCAUUUUCUUUGUCCCAAAUUAGAUUAUUAAAAUCAAAUCUUACUGUGAAAUACUUACUAAAUUUUUUUGGUGAGUUUAAUUUUGUGUCUUAAACUUGUCCAAUUUGAUAAAGGUGACAAAAAAAGAUCAUCUCUUUUCACCUUCCGCGAAAACUGAAAAGUAAUGGGCAUAUUUUGGGAUGCUGUUUUUCAUAUUAUUUCCUUGCUUAGCUUGUUUAUUCUUGAUUUAAUUAUUUUCUAACAUAUCCUUCUUUUCCCUUUGGCACACUGCAUCAUAACCUGAUCAACCCAUAUUAACGAGACUAUCCUUUUCUAUUUUCAUGGGUGUUUAGUUUUACAUUAUAGCUUAGAGUCUAUCUGUUGGGAUAAUGUUCAUGAAUGAAGUACAUCAACAACCAAUAGAAAUUCAUGGGGAUUGAGGGUUGAAUCUGGGACAGUGGAUGCUAAAUAUAAAAAUUGCUUUCUUAAAUCAAGGUAAUGAAGAUUGUCGGACAUUGAUUUACAAGAUGGAUGAAGAUAUUAUGUGAUCAAGACACGUGAGAAGUAUAUAUUAAGCCUUUGACUUGUGGAAAAGUUAUAAUGCUUUUUGUUUCCCUUUAAAUCUGAAGCUUAGAGAGUUCAUUCGAGAUCCAAACUUGUGCAAGUUCUUCAAGUGAAGGAGAGAUUGUCAUAAAUUAUUAUUUCUGAUGAAAUUGGGAUUUGGGAAAUGGGUCAAAGUUGUAUUUUGGAAGUGUUUAGUUGAUUUUGAGCUAGAUCGCAUGUCCUGAUCUUAAUAUAGUAGCACGGGUAUGCUUAAAGUACUCUAAUAUGUGCAGUUGUAUUUUUGAUGACUUUAUAUGUGGGAAAGAAUUCUUUGUAAUAAUGCAUUAAUACAUAUAUAAGCAUAAUUUUUUUACUUUGUGGAUCUCACAAAAACCUCAGGGCUUUCUUUUAUCCCCUAAGUUCUUUUCUGUCUUGCAUCAAAUUUGAAAUGUGUUCUGCUCUGGUUCUUCUAUAUGCAAGCAUGUUGAGAUGAAUACUUUAUUACUUAAGCUCCUACACGAUGCUCAAACAAUUCCAACCUUAAGUUACACAAACAAGCUUCAUUAAUCUACUAGUUUAAGAUGCAUGAGCUUGUUUGUACUGCAAUAGACGUUCUAAGGAUAAUAAUAUUGAGUCAAUUUCAGAAUUAGACUGUAAGAUAUUUUUUUGCUGGCUUUAGUAGUUUUUGAAGCUAACUUGCGUAUGCCUUGACUUCUACAGUUAAAUAAUAAACUUAACAUCAAGAUGAAAACAUUAUAUGUUGGUUAUUGAAUAUACUUUUAUAUAUUUGGAUCUUUUUCUUUUACCUUUUCUUUUAUCAGAUAUUAGAUAUUCCUGUAUUUAUAAAUCUAUGAAUAAGGUCUUUUUUCUGGAUUACUAUGAGAAAAUUAAUCCUUAUGCACCAACUAGUGGAACUAAUAUAACUGACAUACUUAAGAGUCAAUAUUUUACAAAGUGAUGAAGGUUUGUGUCCCAUAUGCAUCUUUAUGACGUGCUUGCUCGUCUUCAUACCUAUAUAACAAUGCAAUCAAAAUUUUCUGGCUGAGCUGUUACCUUAUUUGUAAAUUGUAAAAAUUGUAAGAAUUUAACAAACUCUUCCUUCUUAGUUUUUAUGUAGAUGGAAAAAGAUAUAGGUGAUGAACAGUCUGUUCAUUUCAAUGAAAAUGUGGCAAGUCUUUAAGUUUUGGUACAACUAAUAUGAAUCCCUUUUUCAUUAGUUGAUAUAUCAAAACCUUAGUCACAAUGGGGAGCAUAUUAAGUCAGUUGAUUAAACAAUUUUAUAGGUCCUUAAUCACAAUCUAUGACUACUAAUGAUGGCUUCCAGUGCAAUGAAUUCAUUGCAAGUUAUAACACAGGGUCAUUCUAACAUUUCAAGGACAUCUUUUCUCUUCUUGGCAUGACUAUGCAUAUCCUAUUGAUUUUUCCCUUCUUCUAGUUUAAAAUUUAAUGUACAUUAAUACUAUAGUCCUUUUGUCAUGAAAUUUAUUUGGAAAAAGAAGCUAACAGCUUUAUUCAAUGAUUACAAUUUCGAACCAUACCUAUAUGCCAACCAAUGAUCGAUAUGGUAUGCCCAAAAAAAAAAAAAAACUUCAAAAAUACCUGAAAAAUAGAAAAAGUUAGAUUAGGAUUUUUAAGUUGAAAAUAAAUAUAAAUUUAGUAUAAUUUUAGCAAAAAUAAUCUAAAUUAGGAAAGAAUAAUGAUAUUUUUUUCAGGCUUCGAGGAGUAGCUUCGUGGUGCAUCCUGAAUUGUCCUUACAUUAAUAAUAAAUUAUCUACGAAGAAAUGAUUUGAAUUGUUAAAUGUGAGUAAGAAUGAGUUUGAGAGAGUUAAAGAGAUUAAGAGAAUGAUAUAAGCUGAAAGAGGGGGCAAGGAAAAGGUUUAAAAACCCUUUCUUAUGGUUCAAAUGGUUGAAAUAGGCGAUCUUAGCCUUUGAUUGGUAACGGUCGAAAUCCGAUUAUUUACGAUCGGUACUGGUCGGUAACGAUUAAAUUCCGAUCAUUACCGUCCGGUAUGAACCUCGUAUUGCCCGAUAUGAGGUUAGGAUACAGUACCGCUUGAUAGAGGGCGCUCUGCGUAUCAAUCCCCUGUUGGACCAGUAUGUAUAGCUCGUAUCGAGCGAGACGGAUCGAUACUGGGAACCCUAAUUUUAUUUCCUAUCAUCACUUUAAAUAUACCAAUGCUUCUUUCUAUUCAACUGCUGUUGCUAAUGUUUCCUCAUUGCAUACCACCUAUUCCAAUAAAGAAGACAACUUGUAAAUGAACUAUGUAAAUAGUGUGGACAACUUGGUAUAUUUUUAAAUGAAAUCUUGUACAUAGUAAACAGGAAAGAUGGAAAGCUUAUUGUUUUGCUCUAUUUAAUUGUAUGUAUGAGCACUAGCAUUGUUUGGCAAAAGCAAGAAUACCAUAAUUCAUGAAUAACCAAUAAAAAGGAAAAAAAAUACCAUGUCUCUUUUAGUCUUUAGUCAACAACAUAUUCUCUGUUUAACCUUAACUUUUGCCUAUAACAAUCCAAAAUUUCAAAUUUUAUUUUUCAAUUCUCUCAUAUCACAUGGAUGUCCAAGGAUGAAUUUCCUAUAUGUUUCAGCUAUUAAUUUUUCACAACCUAAGAGUAAACUAAACACAUGAAAGAAAGGAAUAAAUUUUGGAGUAUAAAUAUGUAUACUUCAUUGCAACACUGAAAAUUUUGAGGAGACCAAGAAAUGUGGUUUCAAUUACUACAAAUUUGAAACUUAAAUGGCAAUUUACUGUUGAGGUUGGAUAUUUUUAGAACUAGGGGCACAAAAAUUUAAUAUUUUUUUUAUAGAAAAAAAUUAUGUCAGAGGAGAACUCGAUAUCGACUUUGUGUAAAUCAAAUUAAAGGACUUUAUUGUUUUGAGAAAAGACUGCAUAUUUUCCCUUAGCUUUUAACUCUACCUUUGUGUAGUUAUCAUAGCAUUGUAAUCGUAUUUGUGUAACAUCAACCAAAAUAAAAUUUAGUAAGUCAGGAACAAGCUAGAAGGCAAGCGUUGAUACAAUGAUAAGGUUGCUGUCUUUCCAACUUGGGCAACUAGAGUUCAUGGUUUCUUUGAGGUCAACAACUCUACUCUCACCAAGAGCCUCGCUGUGCUUCUCAUAUUUGGCCUUUCUGUCUCACCCAUCCCCCAUGAGUGGCCAUGUGCUUCUGGACUUCAUCGUCCUCCUCGGUAUUCGCCCUCCAGGAAUAAUGGUUUUCUCAACAUCCAUAAUCUCAUGCAGCAGAAAACACUCCGGCAAUAGUGGGAUUUCACAGACUGAGGAAAAUGGAUCUCUGGGACACGAGAUUGUGUACAGUAUAAAAGAUGAGUUUUUGGAGCAAAAAUUACGGGUGGAAAAGGUGAUGAAAUCAGAAGUGAUCAAGUCUCGGGUAUCAAUGGUUUUCACUAAGUUGUUCGGUUGAUGGUAGAGAGAAGAGGUUGGAAGAGAAUAGAUACCACCACAUUAGUGUGACUCUGAUGAGUACACAUGGUGUAUCUGGUGGUACAAGGGAGGGGAUGAUUGAGAAAUUGAAGAGAGCUAUAUCUGGUGGAAUUGGAGGUGGAGGAUAUGUCAUAUCUCCAUGCAGGCCAUGCUGGAACUAGGGGGAACAGUGGUGGGAGAGACCUAUUUCAAGAAUAAGAAUUAUCUCGGAAGAGUUUGGUGAAGAGACCCAGGCUUAUCUUGGAGCUGCUGCAAGAGAAGUUAGACAGUGGAUCACAUACACUUUCUAUCGAUGCUAAGACUCUGAGAUUUUACAGAAUUGCUGAUUCAGAUAGUGAAAGGCCUCUACCCAGUGCUAGAUAAUUGAUGCACUGUUAUUUUACCUUGACAACAAAAUAUCGGAGAUGAAAAUGAUGAUUUCUGUCUGCAAUAGGAGGGAAACCAUUUAGAUUCUGCUUGCCAGUGCCAAAUUUCUAGUGAGCUUCUAUGAAGAAGCAUUUUGCAUUCCUAUGACUCAGGCAAUUGUUUCAUGAACUUUACUAUCAUACUGGAGGAUAUACACCAUAAGAGUGUCAUUUCAUGAACAUCCUUCUGUUGUUUAUGCCUCAGGCUUAUGUCAAGUCUUGGUUAUAAUCCUUCAGUAUGCCAUCAAAGAGUGAUUCUACUGUUUAAGACUCAAAGAAUGGUCGAGAUCAUGUUUUAAGUUCAUUUGAUUCCGAUUUAUAUCUCGGUCAUCGGAAUUAAUCACAUGCCCAAUAUCAGGGGGCUUCCCUUGUUGCAAUUUCCUUCUGAAUUUUCUAAAGCAAUCUUCUGCUCCAUAUUGGUAGAUCAAAAGUGAGAAGUUGCAUGGUUUUAGUUGUACACAUGAUGUUUAAUAUUUCAAUGGAUUGUUCAUCUUUGAUUCAAAA